AAAAGCGAAACCCUAACAAUAGGAAGAACGAAAAUGAAUAGGUGAUAGAAAUUAGAAAGCGGCGGAGUCCGGUUGAGAUAUUAUCAAUCAUACCUUGUUCUGCUAUGGAAUCUUUGUGUGCAAACUAUGCUUCUUCAGAUGAAGAGGAACAAGUAACGCUUCCUCCCCCAAAAUCAACUUCUUCUUUCCUUUCACUUCCCGCACCAAAAUCCCAUGAUCAACAACUGCGCCCACCUAAUGUUGGAAUUACCACAUCUUCUUCUUCUUCCCUUUUCUCUGUCCUUCCACCUCCAAAGACCACCAUGGAAGAUCCUCCACUCCUCAAUUCCUCAGAUCCUAAACCCAAAAGGGUUGUUCAAUUUAAGCCUCCUGUCAACCCUUUUUCUCUCAAGUCUUAUAGUCUGGAUGAAGAUGAUGAAGAUGAGGAUGAAAAGGAAAAACAAAGAAAAAGGUCUCGGUCUUUUGCUCAAACAUCUUCAGUUAAAUCAUUUUUGUCCACUAUUCCUGCUCCAAAGAACUCUAACACUUUGGGUGUUUUGGGUUCCGGCUCCGGAAGAAGAUCCACCAUCCAAGCAGAUGUCCCUGUUCCUGAUCCAGUUAGUUCGAAUGAAGUUCUAGUUAAUUCCAAUACAGAUUACAGUGAGAGCCAGCAGAUUGAUGGGUCGUUUCAGAGUGUAAUGGGAGGUUUUGAUGGUCCCUCACAACAUAAUGCUGAUUGGAAUGCACAGGGUUAUGUAAACCAAGAAGUGUAUGCUGGAUAUGAUAAUGAUGGGGCUAGUGAACAUUCUCCUGCGGCUCCACCAAAUGUGAAUUAUGUUGAGUAUGACAGUAAUUAUGGCGCUUACACUGGUUACGAACAGUAUGGUCAUAAUUGGACUGAUGGGUCUAGUGCAACAGAAGCAUCAACAAUUACUGAUACGGCUGAAGUUGUAUUUAGAUUGCCUGGGAAGAGAGGCAGGAGUGACGCUCCACAGAAUAUUGUUGAGGUGAACCAGGAUGAGUUGAUGAAGAAUGGGCCAAGGGAAGACCAAAGCAGGCUCACUGGGAUUGCCUUUGGGCCAUCUUACCAGCCUGUUUCGAGCAAGGGAAAGCCUUCUAAGCUGCUCAAAAGAAAGCAUCAAAUUAGUACUUUAUACUUCGAUAUGAAACAAAAAGAAAUGGAGCUGUCAGAGCGACGGGCCAAGGGGAUGCAGACAAAAGCUCAAACACAGGGAAAGUAUGGUUGGUGACAGUUUUAUGGUUUUCGAGGACAUAUGGUGAAUGAGCAACUUUUCUUUGUUUGGUAAAUCAAAUUUUAAAUGUUGUUGAUAGUGGCUGGCUUUGAAAGCAUUGUAGUGCAAUAUUUGUGCAAUUUCCUGGUAAUAAGUAGUGAGAAUACUGAUGGUUCCUUGUAAUGAUA
rnacentral:misc_RNA from 1 species